ACUCCUGCGGGAGGCAGCAGUGGGGAAUAUUGCACAAUGGGCGCAAGCCUGAUGCAGCCAUGCCGCGUGUAUGAAGAAGGCCUUCGGGUUGUAAAGUACUUUCAGCGGGGAGGAAGGUGUUGAGGUUAAUAACCUCAGCAAUUGACGUUACCCGCAGAAGAAGCACCGGCUAACUCCGUGCCAGCAGCCGCGGUAAUACGGAGGGUGCAAGCGUUAAUCGGAAUUACUGGGCGUAAAGCGCACGCAGGCGGUCUGUCAAGUCGGAUGUGAAAUCCCCGGGCUCAACCUGGGAACUGCAUUCGAAACUGGCAGGCUAGAGUCUUGUAGAGGGGGGUAGAAUUCCAGGUGUAGCGGUGAAAUGCGUAGAGAUCUGGAGGAAUACCGGUGGCGAAGGCGGCCCCCUGGACAAAGACUGACGCUCAGGUGCGAAAGCGUGGGGAGCAAACAGGAUUAGAAACCCUGGUAGUCC
rnacentral:rRNA from 1 species